rnacentral:rRNA from 1 species
GGAAUAUUGCGCAAUGGGCGAAAGCCUGACGCAGCGACGCCGCGUGGGGGAUGAAGGUCUUCGGAUUUUAAACCCCUUUCGGGAGGGAAGAUGGAAUGGGGUAACCCCUGCGGACGGUACCCCCAGAAGCAGCCACGGCUAACUUCGGGCGAGCAGCCGCGGUAAUACUAAGGUGGCAAGCGUUGUUCGGAUUCACUGGGCGUACAGGGAGCGUAGGCGGUUGGGUAAGCCCUCCGUGAAAUCUCCAGGCUCAACCUGGAAAGUGCAGAGGGGACUGCUUAGCUAGAGGAUGGGAGAGGAGCGCGGAAUUCCCGGUGUAGCGGUGAAAUGCGUAGAGAUCGGGAGGAAGGCCGGUGGCGAAGGCGGCGCUCUGGAACAUUUCUGACGCUGAGGCUCGAAAGCGUGGGGAGCAAAC